rnacentral:rRNA from 1 species
CCUACGGGUGGCAGCAGUGAGGAAUAUUGGUCAAUGGACGCAAGUCUGAACCAGCCAUGCCGCGUGCAGGAAGACGGCUCUAUGAGUUGUAAACUGCUUUUGUACGAGGGUAAAUCCCGAUACGUGUAUCGGGUUGAAAGUAUCGUACGAAUAAGGAUGGGCUAACUCCGUGCCAGCAGCCGCGGUAAUACGGAGGAUUCAAGCGUUAUCCGGAUUUAUUGGGUGUAAAGGGUGCGUAGGCGGUUCGAUAAGUUAGAGGUGAAAUCCCGGGGCUCAACUCCGGCACUGCCUCUGAUACGGUCGGGCUAGAGUUUAGUUGCGGUAGGCGGAAUGUAUGGUGUAGCGGUGAAAUGCAUAGAGAUCAUACAGAACACCGAUUGCGAAGGCAGCUUGCUGCAGCGGAACUGACGCUGAUGCUCGAAAGCGCGGGUAGCGAACAGGAUUAGAUACCCUUGUAGUC